UGUCUCAACUCCUCUCUAAUGCAAGCUGACUGUCAGAAACAGCCUUUCAGAAAUGCAGUACCUCAAAUCCUAAACCAUCUGUCAUGGUCAAAUUAAUGUAACCUUCUCCCUGCUGCCGGUGAGAGCUGGGAAGUAUAACAGCAGUGAGUGCUUGGUCCAGUAGGAUCAGCCUGGACACAUGGCUUUCUCACAUGCUUGGGCCUGUUCCACUGGGUGCUUUGUAGCUGGUUCAAUUCAUGCCUCAGGAUGGAAAUGGUCCAAGUUAGUGCUCAGAUAUCCAAAUUCUCCUGUUGUUUUUCAGCAGGAGGCUCAGUGAUGGCAGCCUUGGGGCUAAAUGGACUUAGCACAGGCAUGGCUGGUUGUCAUGUACUCUACAACGAUCCAGUGCAGGACACAUUUCUGCUGCUGGGUUUGGUGACUGGUUGUGCUCACUUUUCUCUAGUUAGGAGCAGAAGAGAUAAAAAUCAAAAGCUGGUGAAGCUUUAGCACCUGCCUCAAGCACAGUUCAGCUGAUGAUAACCACCAGUCACUGCUCUCAGCAAGAGACCUGAUUCCACCCAUCAUGCUUGGACUGAGACAGGGAACUCUGAAUGGGAGAGCCUUGCAAUGGGACAACAGCCAAGAGAGCACCUGAACAGCGGAGCACUUUGGUAGCAGCGAGAAAAGUCAAUACAGGUUCUGAUAGCACAGCAGCACUCAGCAGGCUCAUUGCUUUCUCUGACCUACAGAGCUGACAUCCAAACUGAAAGGACUACAUUUAAGUGUCAAAGAGAUUCCCAGCCAUCUGCUGCCUCACCAGCUGCUCUCGAUGCAGGAUGAAACUUAUCUCAAUUCAGGAACCCGGGCCUCAGGCAGAGGGGUGGAAGGAGCAUCGCAUCACAAGUGCUGUCUGCAGGAUGAGCGCCCAGACUGGUGCAGAUGUUGGAAAUUGGAUGAAUCUCUUGUGGUAUCUCCCUCUUUGCAGAGCGUUUCCCCAGCAGUGCAGUGGAGAAAGACUUGGAUCAUCCCAGUUUGUCCCACACACUGGCUCAUCAGAUGUUUCUAGAGAAGCUUCUGCGAUGUCCUUCCUUCAACAAACCAUGCACUGGGGCAGCCAGACUGCAAUGGGCAGCAGCCCGUGCUGAUGGAAAGAAGAUGCUGUCUGGAUCCAUGGAGA